rnacentral:rRNA from 1 species
CCUACGGGUGACAGCAGUAGGGAAUAUUGCUCAAUGGGGGAAACCCUGAAGCAGCAACGCCGCGUGGAGGAUGAAGGUUUUAGGAUUGUAAACUCCUUUUGUGAGAGAAGAUAAUGACGGUAUCUCACGAAUAAGCACCGGCUAACUCCGUGCCAGCAGCCGCGGUAAUACGUAGGAGGCGAGCGUUAUCCGGAAUGACUGGGCGGAAAGGGUGCGUAGGUGGUUUGGCAAGUUAGUAGCGUAACUCCAAGGCUCAACCUUGGAACUACUACUAAAACUGUUGGACUUGAGUGCAGGAGGGGCAAGCGGAAUUCCUAGUGUAGCGGUGGAAUGCGUAGAUAUUAGGAGGAACACCAGUGGCGAAGGCGGGUUGCUAGACUGUAACUGACACUGAGGCACGAAAGCGUGGGGAGCAAACAGGAUUAGAUACCCGAGUAGUC